rnacentral:ribozyme from 12 species
AGACGGAAAAGAAAAAUGAAAGAAAAGAUUUUUCUUCUGUUUUCUUUUUUGUUUUGCACAACGUAACGAAAAUAACGACCAACAACCCGAUAAU